AUACGUAGGGGGCGAGCGUUGUCCGGAAUGAUUGGGCGUAAAGGGCGCGUAGGCGGCCCGGUAAGUCUGGAGUGAAAGUCCUGCUUUUAAGGUGGGAAUUGCUUUGGAUACUGUCGGGCUUGAGUGCAGGAGAGGUAAGUGGAAUUCCCAGUGUAGCGGUGAAAUGCGUAGAGAUUGGGAGGAACACCAGUGGCGAAGGCGACUUACUGGACUGUAACUGACGCUGAGGCGCGAAAGUGUGGGGAGCAAACAGGAUUAGAUACCCUGGUAGUCCACACUGUAAACGAUGAAUGCUAGGUGUAGGGGGUAUCGACCCCUUCUGUGCCGCAGUUAACACAAUAAGCAUUCCGCCUGGGGAGUACGGCCGCAAGGUUGAAACUCAAAGGAAUCGACGGGG
rnacentral:rRNA from 1 species